rnacentral:misc_RNA from 1 species
GAAAAAGGGUAGCUUGAGGGAGGUGGGUGGAGAGAGACAUGAAAUAUGUUUUUGUUGAUCACUAUUGUAUGUAGAGAUGCUUUGAUUAUUUAUUCUUGCUGAAGUUGAGCGGGAACAUCAAUAUUGGUGCUAAGGUACUUUAAGGCUAGCUUAUGGAUACAAUAUUUGUGUCUGUUUCUUUCAUCUUUUGUCAUGCUUCAUUUUUUC